CCCAGACACCAGACCCUAGACAGCAGGCCGCCAGUACACGUGCCUCAGGCUGCGGAGUAGGGCGGUUGUAUCGGGUUUGGUUACCUGGGAAAUUUGUAGACAUGCACCUGUUCCACAUCGCAAAGGCUGGAACACAACAUGGUAGGAGCCGCCGCACCACCCUGGGCCUUGGCCUCGUCAGGUGGUGGAUAAGACAAGAUAGAGUGAGUUCCCGGCGCUGCAGCAACUCCCCUUAGAGCAAGCAAGCGUGGCGAGGAUGCGAGGAAGUGAGACCUGCUGCUUGACUCCUUUGUGUUGUGUGACAGCUGGAAGGGAAUGAAGCUUGAGAAUCUUGGCACGUAAUGGAGUGACCUGCAACAUUACCCCUAUCUCGCUCACCUGUGUUGUCAGCCAUGUCACCUUUGGGGGAAGUGAAGCUGAUUGCGGGAUGCAG